rnacentral:tRNA from 1 species
GCCAGGGUAGCUCAGUGGUAGAGCGGGGGACUCAUAAGCCCUAGGUCGGGAGUUCAAUCCUCCCCCCUGGUA